ensembl:lncRNA
ACAGAGCCAAGCAGUCUUUCCUCUACUGCCUGCUCUUGCGCUCUUUCAAUUCCUAGCCUGUGGUCUCUAUGAAUGCAGUAUAAUUUAAAUACCCAAGGAACUAUGAUAAUUUUCUGUCAGUAAGACGUGUGCUACGUUCCCAGUGGUUGUUGGUGUCUGUGGCGGUGCUCUUGGGUUACUUGGGUUUUGCUUUGUUUAAGGCACGUGGGGUUGGUGGUGAGUUCUCCAGUGUGACUGGAUCCUGGAGCACCUUGUCUGCAGCUCUGAGGAGGCUGGGACUGCCUCACAGCAUUUGGCUGAGGUGGCCUCCUUUGCAGAAUGGAUUGCUGGUAGUGCCAGUCGUAAUUAGGUUUUCUAAACACUUUAUUGUUAAAUCUCUGUCUUAUAUUACUUCUAACUUAGCCAGUCUUAUCAGGCUGAAAUCUCCUGCAGUAGGUGUAGCUUAAUGCUGACUUGCUAAAAGCUAAAAUUCUCGUGCCAUUUCUGGGAACACUGUUUGGGACAGCUGCUUAGGUUGUGUUGUGCCCUUGAAAAUCUUACUGUGCUGUACUGUUGGUAUUUAUUUAUUUAUUUGCUUUUGCAAUUGAUGAAGGACUUAAAACUCAUUGAGAAGGUAAGGCUUGAAAUGUGUCUUUUGCCGUUUGUGUGAUUAAAACCACUUGUGAAACUACAAGUCUUUGAAGAAUUCAGGCCACGCAAACUGGGAAAAGCCCUAGAGCUUGAUGUCUGCGCUCUUUUUAGAGGGUAUGACUUGUCCUGGUCUGCAAAUGGUGAAGAAAGCUCUACCCUCAAUCACUGCUCCGCACCGCAGUAACCUGCUGCAGACCCAGCCGCUAGGCACAAGUGGUGGCUCCCCCCUGCCCCUCUCUCCCUCAAACCUUAGCAUGGGAGUUGUUCUUACUUGAUUGUCACAUGCUAUUGUUUUUUACAGAAUCCAUAUCUCAUUCAUUGUCCUGGAGAGGUGGGUGCUCCUACCUGGAAGAAAAGUAAGAUGCCUGCGGUUCUUGAAGAAGCUAGGAGGUGGAUACUGAGAGAAGGGAAAGAAGGGAAAGGAAAGAACCAAAGGAAAAAGACUCUCAUCUGAAUGCUGAGAAACAUGGGCUGGAUGAAGGGCCUGGCAGGCAGAUUGGAGGCCCUUUGACCUUCUGGACUCAAAAAAGUCAUACAGAGUAGGAGGAACCUAUGGAACGUGCCUGUUACAAUUCCAUGAAAGAACCCACGCAGAAGGUGAAACGCUGGCCAAUUCCAUCCACUGCAGAUGUGUUAGGGAGAUUUCCCUGGCCCUGUCUACUGCUAGCCUUUUCUCUCCAGACAAGGAGCAAUGGUCUAAAACUUAAAUGUAGGAAGGUCCAUGCAAACAUGCAGAAGAACUUCUUUAUGGUAAAGGUGAUGGUGCCUGGAACAGGUUGCCCAGAGAGAUUGUAGAGUCUUCUUCUACGGAGAUAUUCAAUACCUGCCUGGAUGCCUACCUGUGCGACCUGCUGUAGGGAACCUGCUUUAGGAGGGGGGUCAGACUCCAUGAUCUCUUGAGGUCCCUCCCAUCCCCUGCAAUUCUGUGAUUCAGUGAUUCUCUCUCUCCAGCCCACUUGGCAUGCAAGUAGGGCUCAUUGUAGGAUCCUUGGACCACAAACAAAGCAAGCUUGCUUAGCUGUUCUCCUGACCUCCUUACCUUGUUUUCCACGAGCACCUCCUUACCCCUGCAAUGUGAUCUCCUGCUCACACGCUGUUUUCACAGCAACGUGUACUGGGUGUGACGUGCUGAGCAACACGCAAACAGCAAUUUCACUUCUCAGGAAGUUCCUCUGGCUUGACAGCUCAUGCUGUUGACUCAUGACAGAUCUUUAACCUGGAGAACCACUGUUCCAGACCCAGUUUUUCUGGAGGACAGGACUGCGCUGUGCGCUUGAGCUGCGCUGUGUGUGCGCUGUGUAUUUCAGAAGUAUGCACCAAGUGUUGGAUGGCUGCUAAGUGUUGUAUUGAUUCACACCCACAUAGCAACUGAGAUGUGCAGCUUAUGGUAGGAACACUAAACCCCCCAUUUGUUCACAAUACAUUCACAGAUGCAGAAGCCAUAAGGUAUUUUUGUGAAGGCAAUGAAACGUGCAUGGCAAAAAUCCUUGUAAAUUGGUAAUGGUUAAAUUUCACCAUUAUUGCUUAUUCAGCC